rnacentral:snRNA from 1 species
GGAUGUAAAGGCGAUCUGGUGACAAUAUCUGUCACCCUGUUNAUCACCAGGGUUGAUUUGACUGCCUAAGCAGAUGUCCCCUUCCUUCAUUGCUGCUCCAUGUANGUCUCAGCUGAAGCUGUGCAUUCAAUGGAAGGGGAUGACCAGCUCAGGAAAGAGUGCACCAUUCCUCUGUCAAAGGUGUAUGAUCGCUGCAGUCCCUACUAAAACCUCAAAACAAGUUCAAGUGUUAUAAAGAGUAACGGUGAUUCAAACAUAAAAAGAGGCCUGGUUGAUAUUU